GUGUGUGUGUGUGUAUAUAUACACACAGUAUAGAUACUGUAUAUAAUAUUUGUAUAGUUAAUGUGUAUUUGCUUUGUCUCACUUCUCACAGUUCAUGCAAUUGAUCUAAAAUUGUCAUCACCUGAACGUCAAGAAAGACGUUUUGCAUCACUCCCUGUUGCAGACGAAAUUGCUUUGGAUUGUUUCUAUGAGAAUGACGAGGGAUCAUGACUUUACUGGUUUAAGCAAACGUUGGGACAACAACCAAAGCUGAUCUCCACCUUCUACCAGUUUAACAAUCCACAUUUCACACUGGAUACGGAAAAAGGUCAAUUACUUGACAAUUUUUGAUUUGAACAUUUCAGACUCAGAUUCUGUUUGGAAACGGGACCAAGCUGGACUUUAAGGAUGAGGACUUUUCUUUUUUCCGUCGUCUAUCUCUUAAGUUCUUUGAUAUUCAUCCCAAUGCUAGUUGUUUUACUGGCUCUUUCAGCGUGCAAGAUCGACAAGGCUGACAGCUGCCAAAGCACAGCAACAUAUACUGCUCCCUCCACGGCAAAUACAAAG